rnacentral:rRNA from 1 species
GUGGGGAAUUUUGGACAAUGGGCGCAAGCCUGAUCCAGCAAUGCCGCGUGCAGGAAGAAGGCCUUCGGGUUGUAAACUGCUUUUGUACGGAACGAAACGGUCCGGGUUAAUACCCUGGGCUAAUGACGGUACCGUAAGAAUAAGCACCGGCUAACUACGUGCCAGCAGCCGCGGUAAUACGUAGGGUGCAAGCGUUAAUCGGAAUUAAUGGGCGUAAAGCGUGCGCAGGCGGUUUUGUAAGACAGGCGUGAAAUCCCCGGGCUCAACCUGGGAAUUGCGCUUGUGACUGCAGUGCUGGAGUGCGGCAGAGGGGGAUGGAAUUCCGCGUGUAGCAGUGAAAUGCGUAGAUAUGCGGAGGAACACCGAUGGCGAAGGCAAUCCCCUGGGCCUGCACUGACGCUCAUGCACGAAAGCGUGGGGAGCAAACAGGAUUAGAUACCCCUGUAGUCC